GACGAACGCUGGCGGCGUGCUUAACACAUGCAAGUCGAACGGAAAGGCCCUGCUUUUGUGGGGUGCUCGAGUGGCGAACGGGUGAGUAACACGUGAGUAACCUGCCCUUGACUUUGGGAUAACUUCAGGAAACUGGGGCUAAUACCGGAUAGGAGCUCCUGCUGCAUGGUGGGGGUUGGAAAGUUUCGGCGGUUGGGGAUGGACUCGCGGCUUAUCAGCUUGUUGGUGGGGUAGUGGCUUACCAAGGCUUUGACGGGUAGCCGGCCUGGGAGGGUGACCGGCCACAUUGGGACUGAGAGACGGCCCAGACUCCUACGGGAGGCAGCAGGGGGAAAUAUUGCACAAUGGGCGGGAGCCUGAUGCAGCAACGCCGCGUGCGGGAUGACGGCCUUCGGGUUGUAAACCGCUUUCGCCUGUGACGAAGCGUGAGUGACGGUAAUGGAUAAAGAAGCACCGGCUAACUACGUG
rnacentral:rRNA from 1 species